GACGAACGCUGGCGGCGUGCUUAACACAUGCAAGUCGAACGGAAAGGCCCUGCUUUUGUGGGGUGCUCGAGUGGCGAACGGGUGAGUAACACGUGAGUAACCUGCCCUUGACUUUGGGAUAACUUCAGGAAACUGGGGCUAAUACCGGAUAGGAGCUCCUGCUGCAUGGUGGGGGUUGGAAAGUUUCGGCGGUUGGGGAUGGACUCGCGGCUUAUCAGCUUGUUGGUGGGGUAGUGGCUUACCAAGGCUUUGACGGGUAGCCGGCCUGAGAGGGUGACCGGCCACCUUGGGACUGAGAUACGGCCCAGCCUCCUACGGGAGGCAGCAGUGGGGAAUAUUGCACAAUGGGCGGAAGCCUGAUGCAGCAACGCCGCGUGCGGGAUGACGGCCUUCGGGUUGUAAACCGCUUUCGCCUGUGACGAAGCGUGAGUGACGGUAAUGGGUAAAGAAGCACCGGCUAACUACGUG
rnacentral:rRNA from 1 species